AUUGAACGCUGGCGGCAUGCCUUACACAUGCAAGUCGAACGGUAACGGGCCUUCGGGUGCCGACGAGUGGCGAACGGGUGAGUAAUGCAUCGGAACGUACCUUUCGGUGGGGGAUAACGUAGCGAAAGUUACGCUAAUACCGCAUAUUCUGUGAGCAGGAAAGCAGGGGAUCGCAAGACCUUGCGCUGAUUGAGCGGCCGAUGUCAGAUUAGCUAGUUGGUGAGGUAAAGGCUCACCAAGGCGACGAUCUGUAGCGGGUCUGAGAGGAGGAUCCGCCACACUGGGACUGAGACACGGCCCAGACUCCUACGGGAGGCAGCAGUGGGGAAUUUUGGACAAUGGGGGCAACCCUGAUCCAGCCAUGCCGCGUGAGUGAAGAAGGCCUUCGGGUUGUAAAGCUCUUUCGGCCGGGAAGAAAUCGCACAGGCUAAUACCUUGUGUGGAUGACGGUACCGGAGUAAGAAGCACCGGCUAACUACGUGCCAGCCGCCGCCGUAAAAC
rnacentral:rRNA from 1 species